rnacentral:rRNA from 1 species
GAUGAACGCUGGCGGCGUGCUUAACACAUGCAAGUCGAACGAUGAAGCCCAGCUUGCUGGGUGGAUUAGUGGCGAACGGGUGAGUAACACGUGAGUAACCUGCCCUUAACUCUGGGAUAAGCCUGGGAAACUGGGUCUAAUACCGGAUAGGAGCGUCCACCGCAUGGUGGGUGUUGGAAAGAUUUAUCGGUUUUGGAUGGACUCGCGGCCUAUCAGCUUGUUGGUGAGUUAAUGGCUCACCAAGGCGACGACGGGUAGCCGGCCUGAGAGGGUGACCGGCCACACGGGGACUGAGACACGGACCAGACUCCUACGGGAGGCAGCAGUGGGGAAUAUUGCACAAUGGGCGCAAGCCUGAUGCAGCGACGCCGCGUGAGGGAUGACGGCCUUCGGGUUGUAAACCUAUUUCAGUAGGGAAGAAGCGAAAGUGACGGUACCUGAAGAAGAAGCACCGGCUAACUACGUG